UUGAUGGCUCUGGAGACUGAAAUCCUCUGUUUAUGACACAACAAACACAGCAUGUGCAGAAGCAGUACAGCUCACAUACUGCCUUGCUAAUAAGUCCCAAAUCUGACCUGUAAGGACCAUCUCUAGGGCUAAGAAAAUCCUGUUCUCCAUGGCUAUUCACCCCUCAACUGAG
ensembl:misc_RNA